AAUGGUAUUUAUCAAUGAAGGCCUAUAGUUAUUGAGCACCCGCCGCGGGCCACGCACUGUUUGAGUGUUGCUAGGAUCCAGGAGGUCAUAUUAGCCUCACACCAGGCCUGAGGAGACAGCACCUGUCACAAGUGAGAGAGACCUAAAGGGCUGUGAUCGCCCUGGGAGGACAGAGCAGGGGAGCAAGUGUGGGGGUGUCAGGUCUAACAGAAACAGGUCCUCAUCUUUCAGCAGCGGGCAGUCAUUGGAUUCUAUCUGCUGCUGCUGCUAAGUUGCUUCAGUCGUGUCCGACUCUUUGCAACCCCAAGGACAGCAGCCCACCAGGCUCCUCUGUCCAGGGGAUUCUCUAGGCAAGAAUACUGGAAUGGGUUGCCAUUGGACUCUAUCUAAAAGUGAAAAUAUAAUUGUCAGUACAAGCCUAUCACACAUAAAGAGGUGAGAGUCAGAAGAAACAGCCAGCUCAUAUGUCUGCCUCUAAGGGGAGGACUUGAGGUGGGAUGGGGUCAGGAAACUGCCAUUUUUUCAUCAUAAGCCUUGUAGUUCUGUUUGUCCUUAAAAAAUGUGUACCUGUUACUAACUUCAUUGAAAAUAAAACUUAAAAGCAGAAACAAAACAGAGGAUCAAAGAGUUGAAAUCACUUCCCCAAGGUCACACAUGAUGCAGAGCUGAGCCAGAGUUCAAACUUGAGAUGGUGCUGAGCCCCACGGGCCCCCGGGCCUGCUGCUGAGGAUGGGUAUGUGGUCAGGGCGACCCGACUCAUGCUUAAGACUGGUUCUUUUCACUAUCAGAUGGUGCUGAAGUUUGAGCCUAACAGAGAAUGUUAAUAAGUCCUUAAUGAACUUUUUCACGUGUCUGACCUUGCAGGGAGGGCAGGGGAGGUUCAACGUCCACCAAGCAGCCCCAGCUCAUGCUGGCAAAUCAGCAGCGUUCUCCCAAAGCAGGCUGGGCUGUUUUGCAAGCACACGAAUGGGCUGAUCUCCCAGGGCGGCCACAGAUGUGUCCGUUAGAGGGCUGGGUUUGAACUCAAGGCUCCGCAUCUGGGGUUCCUCAGGGCAGUGGUGGGGUCAGAGCUGAGCCACUGGAGUCCGGGGAAGCAAGGCCUGUUCUUGAUCACAUGACGGGGGGUGGGGCUGUGGACCCCGGAGGCGGCGGCGAGAGCCAAAUUUCCCCCGGGCCUUGAUCUGGGAAUUGGCCCGGGUGCGCGGAGCUGGGGAGGGCAGCUGCAGCAGAGGAGAGACUGGGGCUGGAGAAGGCGGAGGGGGAGCGGGGGGGUAGGAGUGGCUAGGCCCGGGGCGCAGGCUGGGCCAAAGCCCGGGGCAAGGUAGGGUGCGGCAGAAGGCCAGGAUGGCUGGGGCGGAGGGGCGGGCGGGGAAGAGGAGGGGGGAGGCCGGGAGGCCGCAGGGCUCGGGUCCCCAGGGCUUCGGGGCCCAGCGAGGAUUUGUGUCUUUAUCCCCCAAAAAAGCCACUGACGAGUCUGGAAAGCUUGCUCCGCCGCUAAGUGAGGAAGAAAAGGCGGGAGCUGCAGCUCCAAGGUGCGGGGGUCUGAAGCCUAGGGGCGCAGCGAGGAGGCGGAGCUAACAGCUGCGUCGCCCCCCCCCCACAGCCCCGCCCGGCCGGAGACGCGCAGCGCGAGACCCCGCCUCCUCCGCUGGUUGGCUCGGGGCGGUGGCACGUGACCCGGGGAGGCCAAUCCCCGCGCUGGCCGUGCCCCU
ensembl:lncRNA